rnacentral:rRNA from 1 species
AUUGAACGCUGGCGGCAGGCCUAACACAUGCAAGUCGAGCGGAUGAAGGGAGCUUGCUCCUGGAUUCAGCGGCGGACGGGUGAGUAAUGCCUAGGAAUCUGCCUGGUAGUGGGGGAUAACGUCCGGAAACGGGCGCUAAUACCGCAUACGUCCUGAGGGAGAAUGUGGGGGAUCUUCGGACCUCACGCUAUCAGAUGAGCCUAGGUCGGAUUAGCUAGUUGGUGGGGUAAAGGCCUACCAAGGCAACGAUCCGUAACUGGUCGGAGAGGAUGAUCAGUCACACUGGAACUGAGACACGGCCCAGACUCCUACGGGAGGAAGCGGGGGGGAAUAUUGGACAAUGGGCGAAGGCCUGAUCCAGCCAUGCCGCGUGUGUGAAGAAGGUCUUCGGAUUGUAAAGCACUUUAAGUUGGGAGGAAGGGCAGUAAGUUAAUACCUUGCUGUUUUGACGUUACCAACAGAAUAAGCACCGGCUAACUUCGUG